CGGCGGACGGGUGAGUAACGCGUGGGUAACCUACCCUGUACACACGAUAACAUACCGAAAGGUAUGCUAAUACGGGAUAAUAUAUUUGAGAGGCAUCUCUUGAAUAUCAAAGGUGAGCCAGUACAGGAUGGACCCGCGUCUGAUUAGCUAGUUGGUAAGGUAACGGCUUACCAAGGCGACGAUCAGUAGCCGACCUGAGAGGGUGAUCGGCCACAUUGGAACUGAGACACGGUCCAA
rnacentral:rRNA from 1 species